CAGGUUGUUGGACCCGGCAGGCGAGCAGGAACGGGCCCCUCUUGAUUACGUUAGUUCGCCACCUCGGGCAGGAACAGAACAGCCUACAGCCGCACCUCCGUCGUGUCGACGGCGGAGCCUGUCUGGCACUAGUAACAACCAGGCCCAAUCCAACGUUGCUACUGGUCUCUAUCAAGAAGAACACGACCCACGUCGUACACGAUAGUCAGGACUAUUGGCAGGGUCUACGAGGCCAUCUCAUGAAGAAAUAUAUAGGUGGUAAAGACUUUGCGGUCGUUUGGUGGUUUACGCUACUUCAUUACGAAUUCGAGCGCGAUAGCCCGCCAGGUAGCAACCAACACUGAUCUUGAAACUCAGAGAUCCAAAAGCUAAGCAUUAUUGGGUGCACGAAUACGAGUCUGAUCCUGACACACUUAGGCACCUUUGUCGUAUUCAAUCGUUUUAUGACCAGGUCGUACGUUUAUGUAGCCCAGUAACCAGCACUGUGCGUAAUGCCGCUGCUGCUUAACUUGGCCUCUAUUUUCUGUGGACCGGACCGAGUCGAUAACUGCCUUAGGGGAACCUUCACGCUUCAACGAAUUGCUAUGUUUGUUUUGACAAGUUAUUACAGAUUUCGCUAUGUUUUGAGUUUUACGUCAGGUAUCACCGUUAGGUGUCGUGGCUCGCAGCACGAAGCGCAGAUCACACCGUAACCCUAAAAUUGGCAGACAAAUACGGCACCCACUAAGUUAUCACGGGCACACGUCCAGUUCCCUUUUUCUAGUGGUCCUUUUUCUAAAGUUCAUGAAAUACUCGAAAAGAAAAAAACUUUCAGGUAACCAAUGCAAUCCAAGAAAACGCACGGGCAUUGAAUGUAGCUGGGAUGGCUUCGAAGGAAACUGAUGGGACUUGAAGGAUUAAGCCAUGUGCAGUUCGUAUGUAGCUAAAUUUUCGGCACAUCUUUGACACUGUAACAUGGUUCAGAAGUAAGCAUUCGUUCGUUCGUCUUUUCUCUGUCUUGUUUUUUAUGGCCGCAAACCAGGGUUUGAAGCACCCAGUGCAUGUGAUCACACGCGCUGGUUACGACGCGAAAACCGCCACCUGAUGAUUAUUUAUGACUAGGCAUAUGUUAUUCUGGAGAAACGACUUUUCUAUUUACAGGCAAGCUAUAUCUUACUAUUUUUCUUGCAUAGUUAGAUUCGACCCAAGUAAAAUUCAAGCCUCUUCGAAAUACGUAAAUUGCGAAAGUGUCUAUAAUUUGGCUCAUCAUAGAACUCAAAGUAUGCGCCUGUCAAAUGUUAGAACAACUUAUAAAUACGAACUGGAGUUAAACGAGCGCAUAGCUUUCAUACUGUCCUCAACUUAUUCUCGUUCUUCGUGAUACCUCGCAUUGAACUUCAAUAGAUCCUGUGCCUCAGUUAAUCCUCUGCACUAAACGAAUACACAGAUAUAUAAUAUUAUCCGAACCGAAAAAAUAAAAAGAUAUUUCAGUUCUUUUUGUUCGUGUUUUAUACAUAAAUCGAUUUAUUUCAACACGGCAACAGGUAACAUGAUUUUACAUCAUUUACAAAACAAAGCACAUAUAUACUUCUUACCAAUCAUCGUAGCGAGUUUUUAUAGCAUCGUAGUUAUCAUUGUUAUUAUUAUUAUUAUUAUCAUAGCAGUAUCAGUUUCAGUAUCAUAUCUAUUUACACACAAAAGAGGGGUCGCUAUUGAGGUAUCGUUCGUGCUACUUGCAAAGUGUAUUCUAUUGCUAUAAACAUUAUUAUUCCUAUACAUUUAUUAUAAACUAUCAACGGAAUAGUUCGGUCGUGGUCGCAUGAUAACGCAGACGAGUAUUUCAGAUCAAAGGGAUAAAAAUGAGUCAAGGGGAUUUUUUUUAGCAGUUCCAUUACAUCCAGCAGUAGCUAUUCAUCAUUAGAACAUUGGAAUUUAUAUGAAUUAACUAGUUUAGACGGAUGUAUAAAGUCUUUGGGGGGUGCCGUAAGGGGCUUUCGAGCACAUCAUUCGACGCGGUCAAAUUCGAAAAGGAAAACUUAUCUAGAAAUGAACAGAUUUACAGCUACUGUGAGCCUGUGCUGCGCGCAAGGUUGCGUGAUAGCACGAAAUUUUUAUUGGCAUAUUAAGUAAUCGCUGACAAUGCCUCAAGUUCAGCCAUCUGCAGAGAUGGAGCGUGACGUUCGAACAGGAUAGACUCGUUUCAUGUUUUGAUUUCGUGUUGCAUCCCGUGUGUAGCGCAUAGAAAAUCGUAUUAUUUAAGGAUUUUGUUGCUCGCCGGAAAGUUAUAACAAUAAUAACCAGAGAGUACAACUUGCCGGUAGGGCUUAGAAGCUUUGCUGCCAUUGCCUGAUGAUGCUUCCAUGCCAUUACCAGAUAAUGCGCAGCAGGUACUUGACUCUACAUACUACAAAGAAGAAUUUUUCAAAACAGUACCUAGCAAGUAUCGACAUAAGAACUAUGCAUGCUUCACCAUAUUUGAUCAGUGAAAUAGCAAACGAUACUGAAAAACACAUACCUAUUUCACAGACAUACACUCACUGCGAUCUAUUAACAACAACUCCCUUAAAGGUUGUCGUAUUACUCUGCUUGUUGCUAAAUGUCGAUUUCUUCGUCAUCGUUGUAUUAAGCAAUCUUUGUAAGAUACACAUGAUGGAAAAUAUCUAAGGUUAUACAUAUGUGGCCGCAUUCUUUUUAAAAUAUUCUUCAGUCGUACGUUGUUUUUAGGCUUCUUUUGCAGGUAUAUAUUCACAUUGGGUAUCUGGGUAGGUUCGAAUACGCUGCAUCUUUUCUCCAUUCGAUUGUGGGUCGCCUCCCAAGAUCAGCCUUGGAACCAAGCCGAGUUGCUAUCUUUAUUGAUCACACUGUACGAGGAAGAAGAAGAUUGUCGGACACACAUAUCUGCGCAUCGCGAUACUCGGUUUUGCCUUCUCGGCUUCUGCCGCUGUCGACUUGACGUGUCGACUGACACAAAUCACCCUUUGGAGCGAGGUCGAGGACGCCGAAAAGUAACCCCACGAGAUAGAGUCCAGAAGGCUGGGUUAUUCUUGUCGCCCGUUCUCUCAUUAUCGAUGUUUCUCUAUUUGUAGCCAUCGGCUACACCCGGCGAUUUGUUUCUUGCUCGAUUCGAAGAUACGCUUGGAUCUCCCUCGCCUGGUUUUUUUCUCCUUUUCCGGGUUCCUCCAACAUUCUCUAGGGAAGCAGAGCAAUCUUUAUUCGAAACCGGUAAGGAGUUAUUUUAUGCGACGACACUUGCAGAAAGCCGCGAGAUGUUUUGGGCUCCUUCCUUUUCCCUUUUUUCUAGAUUAUUUUUGGGCCGUCGAUAAACGUAUUGUUACUGAUCGAAGGCGUCCUUAUCCAGUUUCGCGUAAAUGUCUGUGCGUUUGAGGGUGGUUGUGCGCAUACAAGGUACACGAUUAGUCGUAAGGCAUGUUUUAUCCGGCAUAGGGCACUGCGCAUAUUCAUUCUUCUAUUUCGUACCUCAUACUAGCUGUCAGCGGGCAGCAAUCGUGGCGUCAUCGAAUGUGCUCGAUUAGAUAUGGACACAGCUUUUGCUAUAGCUACUACUGGGAAGAAAAAACCAUACACUUGGCAAACUUUUUCCUGGCACUCCUCGCACUCGUCCUUCUGGAUAUACUUACGCAUCGCCUACAUUGAGUCGAUUUCAUUUCACUCUGUAUAUGUUUCCCUUUUCACCUGCUUUCUCAUGCUGGGGCCACUCACCUGUCGUUCAGCAGUCCUUUUUUGACUACACCUUUUAUCCGAACGCCUUGUCUCUGCGCGCUUCUGGGUUAUUUCCAGUUUACUAUUUCGCACUCACAGAUCUGUACAAAAAUGAAAUACGAAAUCAGAGGACGAUAGAACCGGGUUGCGUCCGCAACCUGCUGACCCCUUAGACCGUCAAAAAGUCACUACAAUAUCGAAACUUGCUGUCUCCACGAUGGCCUGGUAGGCAAAUUUCGUCUACCUUCAUCGCCUUUGUUUCAUGAGACGUCUACUUCAUAUGUGUCAGUAUCACAGUGCUCUACUUUAGGAACCUUAACCUCUUUCCUACUAGUUCGAAAAUAGUGGCACAUACGAAAUGUAGGACGCGUGCCCGCGGCGAGGUCAGGGAUGAUUCAAACGCUGUUUGCUUCCAACCCAAUUUCCUUUUUUUUUCCGCUAUGCUUCCGCCCUCUCUGUUUUUCGUUAGAUCGCCCUUACCUUCUCUUUGAUAGUGGUGAGAAAAUGUAGUAAAUCCGAUAUAGUGUUCUCAGCUCCGCCUGAUUCAGGGGCUCCGCGUACUUUCAAUGUUGUUCGCAAGCCGGCACCCACAAAUCUUUAUUUCCUUGUUGUCCACAAGCCUCCAAAAUACUAAGAGACACGUAUAUUAUUCUCAAACUAGCAGCUCCAUUACCACAUACGCGGUAGUUUCGCAUAAUAUUUUGUGCUGAGCUUGUAGCCAGCCAUUUGCAAAGUUGAAUUGAUCUAUUAAGCAGAUCGUGAUCAACAGAAACGAUUCAUUCACACACGGCUAUGGCAUCAUUACACAAGCCUAUGUUAUUUCAUUGCAAAGAAAAGGCUGUUGUUUAUUCACGCAGAUCACCUUGUUGAUGCAUCAGUAUUGAAAGUUAUAGCAUUGAAGUUAAUGUAUGAACAACUAGUAUCGAUGUCUUCAUGUUCUUUUUCUAAAUUUAUACAAGACAGAGUCGCAGACGUCGCUUCGCGCCUGUAGCUAAUUAUAGUUAAUUAAAUCAUUCAGGACAGCCAACCUGAUGUAACCUGUAAGUUGGCUCUGCACGCAUCGUUAUUCCUAUCCAUGGCUUGCUCGACCUAUUCCGUUCCACUUUUCGGGUACUUGCAAUAUUCCUGCUGGGGUGUCGAAGCUUUUUACCUUGUCGGAGCUAUUCGAUCAGCAGGUUCUAUAAUUAUACUAAUGAAACUGGUUGCUGGUUUAUGUAGUAUUUCGGGGCAGUUCACCGGUAACACUGAUUUUUUGGUGUAGUUAUUUUGCAACUUUAUUCUAGUAAAUGGUUACUCCUCACAUAACUUAGAGCUUUGUUAAGAGUCAUUGCGAAGAUUUAUAUAUAUAUAUAUCUUCCCACAUGGAUAGACAGACAAGUGCACACCUUAGUCUCUAUAACGAAGCGCAUCGAAGUAGCAUUAAACCAUGUUUUAUAUGAUUUUUCAGUCUUUAUACCACGUUUGAACAGACCACAGUUAAAGGAGUCGAAUAAUUCAUGCAAGUGUUAGCUAUUGAAGAUUUAUAUUCCUAUCUGUGGUCGGUGCUUAAGCGUGCGUUGGAGCCCCUUAAGUUCAAUAUACUCAAAUAAGUUUCUGUAUCAGAAUUUUUAGUUACUCCAGUGAAUUUCAUUGUGCGCCUGAUAUAGUGCCUAGCGUGUGUUUGCACUUUACUGGACGGCGAUUUAACGACUCGAAGUAAUCCCAUAUAUGUGGGAUACACCAUAUAUUUUCUAUACAUACAUAGUAUCAGCGGCCCGCAUCGAUGCUCGGAGUAAUGAGGAAACGAAAAAUUCGUGACUGCAAUCAUGUUUUCUGCUGAUCUCGGAAGGUCGUUUCUAGUCGAUAUACCAAGUAGCAAGUUGUAAGGAACCUUCAAGGGAACUUGCGUUAUUGAUAUUCAAUAAAGCAUUGCAAUUGCCUAUUAUAUAAUAUUAUUACUAUAAUUUAAUAACAGAUUCAGUAUUUACAUUAUAAUGUGUACUUUUCAGCUCGAAUGGCUCACCUGCGCCACCUGUUGGGCGGUCGCGGCGGCGCCAUCUAACCCUACGAUCAUGUCACCGAUAUGCUAGCGUAGAACGUUCGAUGACCAUUCGCUGCCACUUAUAUUAUGGUUAUCAUUAUAGUAUUGCUUACGUUCUAAUAACAAUAAUAAUUAUAUGCUAAUUAUAAUAGAUUGGUCUCUCUAUCCGUUUCGGAGUCAGCGUUCGGUCGAUGCUUUAAUGUCGCUCACAGGAGCGCCACGUUGACGUGCUCACUGUGUCGCUGUCAAGAUCCUGUGAGUCGACCCGCUUUCGUCAGGGCCUUCUUUCGUUUGUCAGUCGUGUGGUCCCCAUUUGGCCCGAGCCUUGACUCCUGUGG